rnacentral:rRNA from 1 species
UACGUAGGGGGCAAGCGUUGUCCGGAAUCAUUGGGCGUAAAGCGCGUGUAGGCGGCUUCGUAAGUCCGUUGUGAAAGUCCAGGGCUCAACCCUGGAAUGCCGAUGGAUACUGCGGAGCUAGAGUCCGGAAGAGGCGAGUGGAAUUCCUGGUGUAGCGGUGAAAUGCGCAGAUAUCAGGAGGAACACCGAUGGCGAAGGCAGGUCUCUGGGCAUUAACUGACGCUGAGGAGCGAAAGCAUGGGGAGCGAACAGG